rnacentral:rRNA from 1 species
CUGGCUCAGGACGAACGCUGGCGGCGUGCCUAAUACAUGCAAGUCGAGCGGACUAAUGGGAGCUUGCUCCCGUUAGUUAGCGGCGGACGGGUGAGUAACACGUGGGCAACCUACCUGUAAGACUGGGAUAACUUCGGGAAACCGGAGCUAAUACCGGAUGAAAUAAAGGAACUCCUGUUCCUUUAUUGAAAGAUGGCCUCGGCUAUC